UUUUCAUUCAGGUUGAGGAGAUCCAACCAGGAUAUUCUAAACUCAACUACGUGUUUCUGGCCAAGUGCUACAAAGACCUGGGGCAGACGGAAAAAGCUCGGAAGAUGUGUGAAGCUGCUUGUUCAAUGAAUGCCGUCUCCAAAGAGGAUGGAGAGGCACAGAAGGAGCUGGACUUGCUCUGCCCAGCGCUCGGAGUGUGACGAUCAUUCUGUUUGGCAUUUAUUUUCCCUGUGUGUGUGUGUGUGUGUGUGUGU